CCUACGGGGGGCAGCAGUGAGGAAUAUUGGUCAAUGGACGAGAGUCUGAAGCAGCCAAGUCGCGUGAAGGAUGAAUGCCCUAUGGGUUGUAAACUUCUUUUAUAAAGGAAUAAAACGAGGCACGUGUGCCUUUUUGCAUGUACUUUAUGAAUAAGGAUCGGCUAACUCCGUGCCAGCAGCCGCGGUAAUACGGAGGAUCCGAGCGUUAUCCGGAUUUAUUGGGGUUAAAGGGAGCGUAGAUGGGUUGUUAAGUCAGUUGUGAAAGUUUGCGGCUCAACCGUAAAAUUGCAAGUGAUACUGGCAGUCUUGAGUACAGUUGAGGUAGGCGGAAUUCGUGGUGUAGCGGUGAAAUGCUUAGAUAUCACGAAGAACCCCGAUUGCGAAGGCAGCUUACUAAACUGUGACUGACAUUGAGGCUCGAAAGUGUGGGGAUCAAACAGGAUUAGAUACCCCAGUAGUC
rnacentral:rRNA from 1 species